GCUCCAUUAGCGUAUACUAAAGUUGUUGCAGUUAAAACGCUCGUAGUUGAAUUGUGAGUACAUUCAGGUGUCACGUUGGUGAUGUUUGAUGUACUGAUAUUCCAGUAAUGGGAGAGUUACUUUGAGCAAAAUAGAGUGUUUCAAGCAAGCAUUGUAUUUUGAAUAUUCAAGCAUAGAAUAACAAUAUAUGACUCAGCUCG
rnacentral:rRNA from 1 species